rnacentral:lncRNA from 1 species
GCACAUUGAAGUUAUGGGACAAAAGAAAAUUCAUAAUAGUAGAGAAAGGUAAGGUAACUAUCAGUUUAAACAAGUGGAUCUUCCGAGGACUUUUAUCUUUUGUAUCUCUAAAAAAUUCUUGUUGUACCUUAUUAAAGUAGAAUGAGAAAAUAACAUUUAAAACCUACAAUUUUUUUAAAAGUAUCCCAUAAAAAAUGGAUUGAAAACUUUUUAGAUUAUAUAUCUUGGAGUAUAUGGAUCUUGAAAACUAUUUUAAAAUAUAUAAUUUAAAAUUAUUUUUUAAUUAUUAUUUUUGUUCAAUUCUAUAACUUUUCUAAUAAAGUUUAUUAUGGAAGUGAAUUUGUAAAAAAUUGAUGGAGUGGAUAUGUGGAAUCUGAGAGGAUGUGUCAGGUUGUUUGAAUUGUGGGAUGAUAGGAUGAAUUUGUGAAAAAAUUUACUGUAGUUUGUUAGUGAUAUGAUGGUUGAGAUGAUAUUUUAAUUUUUUUAAAAGUGUAAAAUAUAAAUUGAUAAAUUUAUUCUUGUAUUUAAUAAACAUAUGAAUAUUCAAAAUAUAAGAUAUUUUUAUGCAGACUUAAGUUAAUUAAAAAAUUAUAAAUUAAUUUGAUAUCGUUAAAUAGUUAUUUUUGUAAAAAAUUAUGAGUUACUUAAUAUUUUAAUAAAUUUAUGAUAAAAAUAAUGUUAUGAAAAUAUAUAUAAAUUGGCGUUAUAUUUUAAAAAGUUUUAAAAUGUUAUUUAUUUCUUUAUUAAUUAUAAUUUUUUGUAAUUAAUAAAUUAUUUUUGAUACUAUAUAUAUUUGUGUGAGAACAUAAAGAAUUAUCACAAAAUAAUUAUUUUUUAUUUAAAAAUAAAAUGAUAAUAUUCAUAAUAAGAUAAAAAGUUAUCGAUAUGUAAAAAAUGGAAAUUUUUACAUAAAAACAAAUAAUUGAAAUAUUCUAAAUUAAAAAAUAUAAGAGAAAAUAAUUCUAUAUUAAAUUAAAAAUUAUUAUUGUUCUUGCUAGGGAGAUGGGAUCUAGAGAACUAUCGAAGUCUUCCACUCUUUCCUUCGGUCGGGCAGGUUGCUAGGUGAUGAACUGAGAUUCUUCUCGUUCUCGUGCUUCUCCUUUGACUCUCGGUCUCGAGUGAACUCCGAAUGGGGUACCUGCGGAAAGCACUCCAACGCCCAAAUCAGUAAAGCGAGUGAUAGAUACUUAGGUAGGUGUACAAUAAUAACUGAUGUACCGUGUGUUAUUUAUAUUAUUUUAAUGGACUUACCUUGUUGGGUCUGAUUAGUGGAAUGGAUC